rnacentral:rRNA from 1 species
ACUCUUACGGGAGGCAGCAGUGGGGAAUAUUGCACAAUGGGCGCAAGCCUGAUGCAGCCAUGCCGCGUGUAUGAAGAAGGCCUUCGGGUUGUAAAGUACUUUCAGCAGUGAGGAAGGUGGGUAUGUUAAUAGCAUAUUCUAUUUGUACGUUAGCUGCAGAAGAAGCACCGGCUAACUCCGUGCCAGCAGCCGCGGUAAUACGGAGGGUGCGAGCGUUAAUCGGAAUUACUGGGCGUAAAGCGCAUGCAGGUGGUUGUUAAGUCAGAUGUGAAAGCCCGGGGCUCAACCUCGGAAUUGCAUUUGAAACUGGCAAACUAGAGUACUGGUAGAGGGGGUAGAAUUUCAGGUGUAGCGGUGAAAUGCGUAGAGAUCUGAAGGAAUACCGGUGGCGAAGGCGGCCCCUGGACAGAUACUGACACUCAGAUGCGAAAGCGUGGGAGC